rnacentral:rRNA from 1 species
CCUACGGGUGGCAGCAGUGGGGAAUAUUGGGCAAUGGGCGCAAGCCUGACCCAGCAACGCCGCGUGAAGGAAGAAGGCCCUCGGGUUGUAAACUUCUUUUAUCAGGGACGAAACAAAUGACGGUACCUGAUGAAUAAGCCACGGCUAACUACGUGCCAGCAGCCGCGGUAAUACGUAGGUGGCAAGCGUUGUCCGGAAUUACUGGGUGUAAAGGGAGCGUAGGCGGGAAGCCAAGUCAGCUGUGAAAACUACGGGCUUAACCUGUAGACUGCAGUUGAAACUGGCUUUCUUGAGUGAAGUAGAGGUUGGCGGAAUUCCGAGUGUAGCGGUGAAAUGCGUAGAUAUUCGGAGGAACACCGGUGGCGAAGGCGGCCAACUGGGCUUUAACUGACGCUGAGGCUCGAAAGUGUGGGGAGCAAACAGGAUUAGAUACCCUUGUAGUC